rnacentral:lncRNA from 1 species
UAUUUAAUACUUGUUUACAAAACAAACAUAAAACCAAGUAAAAAGUGUUAAAUUAAACCGGCAAGACUUGUUUCACUUCAUCCCGGUAAGCGGGCUGGCGUGUUCAUAUGGAAACAUUUUCAUCCCGCCUACCUAUGAUCUCGGCAAAUUCAAACGAGAUCUCGGCAAGCGGGCCAGCUCGCUUUCUCAUAUGAACACAAUGCAAAAUUUUAUAGGAAAAUAGAUAGGCGGCGAGAUCAUCGGUAAGCGAGACGUCCCGGCAAGCGGAAUCAUAUGAACAGGCCCUUAG